rnacentral:rRNA from 1 species
GCCUAACGGCUGAACCAGCAACUUGGAAGAAUGUAUAGCAAAAGCUAGCUUACUUCAAUUAUUGAGGUAAAUAUCGAUAUAAUCGAAUAAAGUUCUAAGUGGGAUUUUGAUAAUGACAUAUCCUAUUUAUGAGUCUUGACUAAUUUGCGUGCCAGCAGUCGCGGUAAUACGCAUAAGACAAGUGUUAUUCAUCUUUAAUAGGUUUAAAGGGUACCUAGACAGUAAGUAAAGCCUCUUAAAAAGAAGGUACUAAUUUACUAGAGUUACUUAUGAGGGGGCUAUUAGGUACUAGUGGUGGAGAGAUGAAAUUCUUUGAUACCUCGCUUCGCAAGAAGUAAACAUGGCACAGAUAGAGGCGUAAGCAUCUCCUUAUGGGAUAACUGACGUUGAGGGACGAAGGCUUCAUAUAACAAAAAGGAUUAGGUACCCUCGUAGUUGAAAGCAGAAAAUGAUGAGUGUCAUAAAGUAGAAAUAUGUUUACUUUAAAAACGAUAGUGUAAGCACUCCACCUCAAGAGUAAUUUGGCAACAUUGGAACUGAAAUCAUUAGACCGUUUCUGAAACCAGUAGUGAAGUAUGUUGUUUAAUUUGAUAAUCCGCAAAAAACCUUACCAAAUACUAGUUUAAGUGAUAAACCACUUAGACACGUGUACUAUUCACCUUGAAUAUUUAUGUGACUUUUUCAUAUAAUUACAAGAGCUGCACGGCUGUCUUCAGCUAAUGUCGCGAGAUUUUGGUUAGUUCCAUUAAAUUAGCGUAAGCCCUUACUUUAUUUUUAAAUAAAGUAGUUCUCCACUAUAUUGGAUCAGAUAAUAGGGACUAAGACAAGUCAUCAUGGCCAUAACUGUAGUGGGCUAUAGACGUGCCACGUAAGCCUUAACAAAAGGAUG